GACAGGGGAUGCAAGCGUUAUCCGGAAUGAUUGGGCGUAAAGCGUCUGUAGGUGGCUUAAAAAGUCUCCUGUCAAAGAUCAGGGCUUAACCCUGGGCCGGCAGGAGAAACUCUUAGGCUAGAGUUUGGUAGGGGCAGAGGGAAUUCCCGGUGGAGCGGUGAAAUGCGUAGAGAUCAGGAGGAACACCAAAGGCGAAAGCACUCUGCUGGGCCACAACUGACACUGAGAGACGAAAGCGAGGGGAGCAAAAGGG
rnacentral:rRNA from 1 species